GCCAUGAAAAAGGAAGAGGGUGGCAGAGGCGAUGAUGAAAAUGAAAGUGGUGAUCUUGAUAUUGCCAGGGUUCGCGAUAGCAAGGAAGAAAGGAAGCUUAAAAAGAAAAAGAGCAAUGGACCAAUGGAGGAAGGGCUAGAUGAUCACCAUGAAGAGAGUACUUUCCUGGAGAAAGACAAAGUGAAGAAGUCUAACAAGUUUUCGAAGAAUGGCA
rnacentral:misc_RNA from 1 species